UCCGAAGGGGGCUAGCGUUGCUCGGAAUCACUGGGCGUAAAGCGCACGUAGGCGGCUUCUUAAGUCAGGGGUGAAAUCCUGGAGCUCAACUCCAGAACUGCCCUUGAUACUGAGGAGCUCGAGUCCGGAAGAGGUGAGUGGAACUGCGAGUGUAGAGGUGAAAUUCGUAGAUAUUCGCAAGAACACCAGUGGCGAAGGCGGCUCACUGGUCCGGUACUGACGCUGAGGUGCGAAAGCGUGGGGAGCAAACAGG
rnacentral:rRNA from 1 species